rnacentral:rRNA from 1 species
CCGGCCGCAUGGUCUGGUGGUGGAAAGAUUUUUUGGUUGGGGAUGGACUCGCGGCCUAUCAGCUUGUUGGUGAGGUAAUGGCUCACCAAGGCGACGACGGGUAGCCGGCCUGAGAGGGUGACCGGCCACACUGGGACUGAGACACGGCCCAGACUCCUACGGGAGGCAGCAGUGGGGAAUAUUGCACAAUGGGCGAAAGCCUGAUGCAGCAACGCCGCGUGAGGGAUGACGGCCUUCGGGUUGUAAACCUCUUUUAGUAGGGAAGAAGCGAAAGUGACGGUACCUGCAGAAAAAGCACCGGCUAACUACGUGCCAGCAGCCGCGGUAAUACGUAGGGUGCAAGCGUUGUCCGGAAUUAUUGGGCGUAAAGAGCUCGUAGGCGGUUUGUCGCGUCUGCUGUGAAAUCCCGAGGCUCAACCUCGGGCUUGCAGUGGGUACGGGCAGACUAGAGUGCGGUAGGGGAGAUUGGAAUUCCUGGUGUAGCGGUGGAAUGCGCAGAUAUCAGGAGGAACACCGAUGGCGAAGGCAGAUCUCUGGGCCGUAACUGACGCUGAGGAGCGAAAGCGUGGGGAGCGAACAGGAUUAGAUACCCUGGUAGUCCACGCCGUAAACGUUGGGCGCUAGAUGUAGGGACCUUUCCACGGUUUCUGUGUCGUAGCUAACGCAUUAAGCGCCCCGCCUGGGGAGUACGGCCGCAAGGCUAAAACUCAAAGGAAUUGACGGGGGCCCGCACAAGCGGCGGAGCAUGCGGAUUAAUUCGAUGCAACGCGAAGAACCUUACCAAGGCUUGACAUACACCGGAAACGGCCAGAGAUGGUCGCCCCCUUGUGGUCGGUGUACAGGUGGUGCAUGGUUGUCGUCAGCUCGUGUCGUGAGAUGUUGGGUUAAGUCCCGCAACGAGCGCAACCCUCGUUCUAUGUUGCCAGCGCGUUAUGGCGGGGACUCAUAGGAGACUGCCGGGGUCAACUCGGAGGAAGGUGGGGAUGACGUCAAAUCAUCAUGCCCCUUAUGUCUUGGGCUUCACGCAUGCUACAAUGGCCGGUACAAAGGGCUGCGAUACCGUAAGGUGGAGCGAAUCCCAAAAAGCCGGUCUCAGUUCGGAUUGAGGUCUGCAACUCGACCUCAUGAAGUCGGAGUCGCUAGUAAUCGCAGAUCAGCAACGCUGCGGUGAAUACGUUCCCGGGCCUUGUACACACCGCCCGUCAAGUCAUGAAAGUCGGUAACACCCGAAGCCGGUGGCCUAACCCUUGUGGAAGGAGCCGUCGAAGGUGGGAUCGGUGAUUAGGACUAAGUCGUAACAAGGUAGCCGUACCGGAAGGUGCGGCUGGAUCACCUCCUUUCUAAGGA